UCUGUCUUUGGAUGCAUGCCAUCACUGUAGUCUGCGUAACUUUUGUUACAGUAGAUUUCCAAACUCCCACAAGCCUUCGCCUUAGAAAGGUAAGUUGGUGCCCAUCACCAAUGCCAUCUCACCUUGAGCAUCCGUAGCUCUGACCUUUAAGCAAUGGGCAGGCAUAGGUUUAAACUGGCAAAAUACUAAAACUCCCAAGACUGGCAUUCA